rnacentral:rRNA from 1 species
UGAGGAAUUUUGGACAAUGGGCGAAAGCCUGAUCCAGCAAUGCCGCGUGUGUGAAGAAGGCCUUCGGGUUGUAAAGCACUUUUGUCCGGAAAGAAAUCCUUGGCUCUAAUACAGUCGGGGGAUGACGGUACCGGAAGAAUAAGCACCGGCUAACUACGUGCCAGCAGCCGCGGUAAUACGUAGGGUGCAAGCGUUAAUCGGAAUUACUGGGCGUAAAGCGUGCGCAGGCGGUUUGCUAAGACCGAUGUGAAAUCCCCGGGCUCAACCUGGGAACUGCAUUGGUGACUGGCAGGCUAGAGUAUGGCAGAGGGGGGUAGAAUUCCACGUGUAGCAGUGAAAUGCGUAGAGAUGUGGAGGAAUACCGAUGGCGAAGGCAGCCCCCUGGGCCAAUACUGACGCUCAUGCACGAAAGCGUGGGGAGCAAACAGGAUUAGAUACCCUGGUAGUCCACGCCCUAAAACGAUGUCAACUAGUUGUUGGGGAUUCAUUUCCUUAGUAACGUAGCUAACGCGUGAAGUUGACCGCCUGGGGAGUACGGUCGCAAGAUUAAAACUCAAAUGAAUUGACGGGGU